UGGAGGAGCGUCAAGCAGCCGCCCAAAGAGAGAAACGACUUCUCUCCAUUGAUGAAGAUGAAGCAGAAUCCGGAGGCGGGAAUGGUGAAGGAGAUGUGGUGGCACGUCACGCUCACUGAUCCGAUCUUUCAGGUACAUUAUUCUUCAUACUUUACUACUUCUCUUUACGAUGGUUUGGUUGGUUCGAAAUUAUUGUGGUAUGGAAGACAACAAAGGGGUUGGAGGAGCGUCACGCAGCCGCUCAAACAACAGACAACGGCUUCUCUCCGAAGGCAUGGAGGAGAUGGUGGUGGGACGACACGCUCACGAAACCUUAUCUUUCAUACAUAUAUGUGAUCAAAGUAAACAGAACUGAGAUUUGUCGGCCAAGCGUGUCCAGAAGUGAUGCGUUGUGUCAACGGUACGUCUUUUUUUUUCUUUUUUUUUUUCUUGUUGAUAUUAAACUUUUAGGAUAACUUUGAUGAGAUACAAAUUCAUGUCUUUCAAAUGUUAAUUUUAUUACUAACAUGAUUCAUAAAAUCUCAAUUUUAUAACGAUUUCUCUACGCAUCUCUAAUGGAAGACAAGUGAGAGGACCAGAAAAAAAUCAGUUUCUAAAAUUUUAUGAGCUUUCAUGACGUUUUUAGAUAGUGUUAUAUAUAUACUUCCUUUUAAUUACUUUUAGAACCUCUGAGUUAAUAAGAGGACACUAUGACCACUAGUAGAAUUUUCUCGUAUAGACACGAAAGAGUCACGACAGUACGUGGCACUUUUCUAAUUAAACACGAAAAAGUCACAAAAUGCCACGAAAUUAAAAAUAAUGAAUUAUGUGACAUUUUCGUUAUCUAAUCGUGGCUUAAUUAGCCACGAAAUGGUCUCGUUUUUUAGGCGACUUUUUUUGCUACGUUAUGGUCACAAUAUAUACGUGACUAUUUGUAUAAACUGUGUCUUUUGUAAGUUACUAGUUUAAAGUUAAAUUACCAAUUAUAAAACAGUUAAUAAACCAAGAAAACCUUUGAGUCCUUCAACUUUAACACUUAUAAAAAAAACGCCGUCACUCAUAUCUCUUUCUCUUCAAGAAUUGUCAUCCCUUCGUCUGAUCUUCGUCGCUCACAAAUCUCCGACUUGAAUCCGCCGGUACGUCUUCUUCAUCUCCUUCUUCUCCUUCUCUAGUGUUCAUCUCCUUCAAUGUAUUUGCUAAUUCUAUUUCAACAAUCCCAGACCCUUUAAACCAUCAACUCUUUUAGGUUUGGAUAUGUUAAUUUGACAGCAAAUCCCUUAUCUUCGGCUUGGCAUCAACCCGCUUAAAGAUCCCGUCGCUUCAGCACUCUUCGAUAUUUAAAGGUAAAUCUCUCAAUUUUUACUCAAGUCAACAAAAAAAAACAAUUGGAUUGUGUUUUAUUUAUUAGGAUUCAAAGAAGGAAAUGCAUAUAGAAGCUAUCCAGCGACAGAAAGAGAGUGCCGGAGACGGUGGAGAAAGAGAGAGGCCAAGAGCAAAAGCCUUCUCCGUUGAAGUAUUUUUAUUUUCUAUUUCAAUUUGUUUUGUAUAAUUAAAAUUAUUUUCGUUUUUUAGUAAACAAAUCAUUUUGAUUAAUCUGUAAUGGCCAAUUUUUUUUAUUAAAACUAAAUGAGAAAGUCACGGACAUUUACCUGACAAA